rnacentral:rRNA from 1 species
UUCUAUUUGAGAGUUUGAUCCUGGCUCAGGAUGAACGCUGGCGGCGUGCCUAACACAUGCAAGUUGAGCGAUUUACUUCGGUAAAGAGCGGCGGACGGGUGAGUAACGCGUGGGUAACCUACCCUGUACA